CGCAGGUCUCGGCUGGCCCCGGAGCCAGGGGGACGCGGCGGGCGGCUCGUGCGUGCCAAGCGCGACAUGGCGCGGAAGCCGAGAAGCCCCGGAGGCCUAGUGAGCACGGGGAGGGGCUAGACACUGGCUGGACAACCAUUACGGAGCUGGGGGCGGGCGGCUCGGGGACUACAUUUCCCAGGACGCCAAGCGGUCGCGCUCGGAAGUGAUGCGCCACGGGCUCAGUGCGCAGGCGCAAGCGCCGCCAAGGUCUAUAUAAGGAGGGUUCGCCGCCGCUCUCGUCCUUUUGUUCCCGCGGUUCCUAAAGCGUUUGCUGUGUUUUCGAUGUCUCGUCUCUGCGGGAUUAACUUGCAGAUGGUUGGCCUGAUCAAGCAGGACAGCAUGGAGGUUGGAGGAAGAGAAGGGCAUCGAGGGAGAUGAGAACUCGCCUACCAUCUGAAAGUCUCAAGGUUUGCUGACAGACAAAACCAGGCUUUGAAUGGAGCAUGAACUCCUGAGGCGAGCACUGGCCUGAGGGAGCCAAGGAUGCCGGUGUUGGUCUGAUCUUUCAGGUACUUUUGGAAUACAGAACCCCAGCUGUGUUCCUGCUGCCCAGCCCCAUGAGGCCAUGCAGAAUGCAAAGAAGAGUUACUUUGGGCUGGGGAGUAGUGGUAUCAUGUGCACAACUGCUGGAAAUAAUAAAAAAUAUUGACUGUCCGUAGAAAUAAAAAUCUGACU